rnacentral:lncRNA from 1 species
CAUGCAUGAGUCACCACAUGUUAAUUAUACGGCAUUCUUUAUAUUUUAAAAUGUGUAUUUACUAAAGAUAAAAAGAAUUCUCACGGUAUAAAUGUAUUCGUACGUUUAUUGAUUAAUGUGGGGGAAAAUGUAUCAUUUCGGAUGAGUGUUUCAAUUUAAACAUGUCAAACUUUAAUUACUUGUGCAUUACAUAUACAUUUCGACAAAAUAAAGAUCAGUAUAUACUUAAAGAAAACUUGAAUAGUAAACUCACCGCAUAUAAUCGUUAAAUCCAAUGGAUAAUAAAUAUAUUUAGACGACACACAUCAAAAUUAUACCGAUAACGCACAUGUGAAAAACAACACAUAUUGUGCCCAAUAUUAAUGGAAACACGGAUCAUACCGAUAACGGAGUUGAUUCCGGAAAAAUUUAAUACUAAGAAAAAGAGAAAAAGAAACACAAUAUAAUGUAUGUGUAAUCACAAUAUUUUAAUCAAAUAAAUUUUGUGAAAUGACUUAUGUUAUGAAUACUAAUAUUAUGAAGAAAUAAUAUCUUGCCAAAUAGUGCUUCCCUUAACUAUUAGGUAAGCUAACAAGAGGG